rnacentral:rRNA from 1 species
GGAAUAUUGGACAAUGGGGGCAACCCUGAUCCAGCCAUGCCGCGUGUGUGAAGAAGGCCUUCGGGUUGUAAAGAACUUUCAGCGAGGAGGAAGGCUUCAAGGUUAAUACCCUUGGAGCUUGACGUUACUCGCAGAAGAAGCACCGGCCAACUCCGUGCCAGCAGCCGCGGUAAUACGGAGGGUGCGAGCGUUAAUCGGAGUAACUGGGCGUAAAGCGCGCGUAGGUGGUUUGGUCAGUCAGAUGUGAAAGCCCCGGGCUCAACCUGGGAACUGCACCUGAUACUGCCAGGCUAGAGUACGGUAGAGGGAAGUGGAAUUUCCGGUGUAGCGGUGAAAUGCGUAGAGAUCGGAAGGAACACCAGUGGCGAAGGCGACCUCCUGGACUGAUACUGACACUGAGGUGCGAAAGCGUGGGGGGCA